AUACGGAGGGGGUUAGCGUUGUUCGGAAUUACUGGGCGUAAAGCGCACGUAGGCGGACUGGAAAGUUGGGGGUGAAAUCCCGGGGCUCAACCCCGGAACUGCCUCCAAAACUUCCAAUCUAGAGAUCGAAAGAGGUGAGUGGAAUUCCAAGUGUAGAGGUGAAAUUCGUAGAUAUUUGGAGGACCACCAGUGGCGAAGGCGGCUCACUGGCUCGAUACUGACGCUGAGGUGCGAAAGCGUGGGGAGCAAACAGGAUUAGAAACCCUAGUAGUCC
rnacentral:rRNA from 1 species